UGGAGCGGCCAAUAUCUGAUUAGCUAGUUGGUAGGGUAAAAGCCUACCAAGGCAUCGAUCCAGUAGCUGGUCUGAGAGGACGACCAGCCACACUGGAACUGAGACACGGUCCAGACUCCUACGGGAGGCAGCAGUGGGGAAUUUUGGACAAUGGGCGAAAGCCUGAUCCAGCAAUGCCGCGUGAGUGAAGAAGGCCUUCGGGUUGUAAAGCUCUUUUGUCAGGGAAGAAACGGUGAGAGCUAAUAUCUCUUGCUA
rnacentral:rRNA from 1 species